GUCAGGAGGUCACUAAUGUGUAUAUACACCAUCUCAAAAUAUGUGUAUGUGUAGUAUGUAGAGGUUUGUAAUGGCUUGGUCUGAAUCGCUGUAUGGAUCAAAUUUAGGGUGUAUGUAUCUGUGUGUCUGUGUCUCUGUGUCUCUGUGUGUCGGUGUCUGUGUCUGUACGUACCGUUUAGUCCACCCAUCAGGCCUCCACACCCCACAGCUCUGAAUAAACUGCUUCACCAGCUCAUGGUCCUCACGCAGAGCAACAGUGUUGGUGUGUGAGCAGAGUGCAGCAUCUGCCAUCUUCAGUUCCAAGGAGACAGACACACCUUCAGACGGCCGAUACACAAACGCCACAAAGGUCCUGGUGGCCAGAGCAUUACCAAAGCAAACAUGACCCAUUCAUCAUCAUCAACCGUCGAAAACCAGCAAACAGUUCUCACAAACACAUCCCAGGCCUGCUGAGCUAGGUAAAUAAAUCUGAUGGAGAAUCUGAUGGCGUUAUGAAAAGGAAGCUCAGCACCAGGGCAAAACUAACAAAUGACAAAUGGCUGCUCUUUGUUCUUUGACUGUGCUCACUGAUAAACACCUGAGGCCUGAGCUUCAACCUUUAAAAAAAAUGUUCCAUCAACCUGCAGGCAGAAUUAAACAUUAUCCAGUGCUGGCACCAAACAGCUGGUAUACACUUCAGAUAAAGUCUAAACAUCCAUCAGGGUUUAGUCUGUACAUGGCAAUACAGGGGUGAAAAAACAAUAGUUUCUCCUUCCAUUGUAAAUCAGUGACGCUCUCGAGACAAUCCCACCAUCCAACACACACAUCCACAAAUGUGCACACAAACUCAGUACAUCUUUACAACAUCCUUCAUUCAUCCUUUUUUUUCCAUCAUGUCCAAGUGAAAUUUCCAGAGGCACUCGCUCACACACUGAC